GCAGUGACCUCAACUCCCAGCACUUCAAAACCCAGACAGAAACGUCCAACAAACUCCCAGUCCAGGAGCGCUGCAAAACCAACGCCAGUUGUUUUUCUGCAGAAAAUCAUCAACUGUGGAGAAGAAGAAGGGAAAUAAGAAAGAAAGAAAACCCUAAAAACCACCCUGGCGCCCGGGCCCGCAGGCCUCGGGCCGGCUCUGAAAAGUUUGGGCUGUGCACGUGAUGAGCGCGUAGGCGGGAGCCCCAGACAGGACCCGGGCGGGCAUUUCGAGAAAAAGCAGCGGUGACAGCCUUUGGUCCCCAUCUCCAUUGUUCCUGCCAGCUCUGGACCCCAGGCUGCAUGAGACGUAGGUCCCAGGGGACACCCGACCCCGUGGCCCCAGUCUUAGAGUUGGCCUGUUUCCUCUCAUCUCUGGCUCCAUGACUUCAAUCCUCCUGCAGCUUCCACUGCCCCUAUCUGGCUCAUGUCUUGCUGUCUGGUGUCAUGAACUGGGAGUGCAGUAAAGAGGAGUGACAAGCCUGAGGGGCCACGUUCAUACCUGCCACUGCCAACUGUCCUGAUGUAACUGCUUUGUCAUCUUGCCUGCCAGGAUUUGUGACAAGUCUAGUUUGGGGUCUCUAUAAUCCUGCUCCUUUGGCUGCCAGCCAUCUCCAUAAAAAAAGAAUUUGAAAGGCUUCCAUUCUUUCAGAGACCUGUUUCCCGGGACUGGCUGCAAGGGAGAGAUGCACUGACCUUCUGCCAGGAAUCCUAGAGUUCCUUGGAGAGGAUAUGAAGGUUAUUCUCAGGCCAUGCAGAUGGGCAAGAAAGGAUGUGCGUCCAUGGUUCCUCUUCAAAUCCAACCAAAACAGCCUUGCUUCCGUUGGCUUUAUAUAAUACUGCAACUCUUGAUAAUCUGAUUUAACACAAAUUUCCUCAUUGAGUUUCUCCUCAUGAAGAAACGGCCUCAGUGAGGUAAAUCGGAAUGCACAGGAGCACAUAGCAGGCUGGAGUGUAGUGGUAUGAUCACAGCUCACUGCAGCCUCGAACUCCUGGACUCAAACAAUCCUCCUGUCUCAGCCUCCAGAGCAACUGGGAGUACAGGUGUGUGCCACCAUGCCUGACUAAGUUUUUAAAUUUUUUGUAGAGAUGGGGUCUUGCUAUAUUGACCAGGCUGGUCUUGAACUUCUGGCCUCAAGAAAUCCUCCCACCUGGGCCUCCCAGAGUGCUGGGAUUACAGGAAUGCACCACUGUGCCCAGCCCUAAAUAACUAUUUUUAUUUCCCUUUCUGUAACCGCUCAUCUUUUGUGCAUUUUUCCUUGGGUAUUGGCCUUCUUAUCAAAGUUUAAGAACUGUUUAUAUAUAGGGAUUAACCCUUAGUCUGUUGUAUGAAUUGCAAAUAUACAUGUAUUUUUAUUUGUAUAUGCAAAGUUUGUCUUUUAUCUUUGUAUAUGGGAUAGUUUUCCAAACACAGUUUUAUUUUAUUUUAUUUUUCAUCUUGCAUGUCUUUCCAAAGUACCAAGCAGAGUUUUUUUAAAAGUUGUUUUAUGGCUUCUGGGUUUUUUAAGUCAUAUUUAGAAAGAUCUUUCCCACUCUGAAAUUAAAAAAAUAAAUAAAUAAAAUCUCCCAAUUAAAAAAAA
rnacentral:lncRNA from 1 species